AACGCUACGACAGGCUAACACCCGCAGUCUGAGGGCAGCAUAGUAAAAGCUUGCUUUUAUUGAUGGCGACCGGCGCACGGGUGAGUAACGCGUAUGCCACCUGCCUUACACAGGGGGAUAGCCCGGAGAAAUCCGGAUUAAUACCGCAUAAUGAUCAAAUUUCGCAUGUUAUUUGAUUUAAAGCUUCGGCGGUGUAAGAUGGGCAUGCGUAGCAUUAGCUUGUUGGUGAGGUAACGGCUCACCAAGGCGAUGAUGCUUAGGGGGUCUGAGAGGAUAGUCCCCCACACUGGUACUGAGACACGGACCAGACUCCUACGGGAGGCAGCAGUGAGGAAUAUUGGUCAAUGGGCGCAAGCCUGAACCAGCCAUGUCGCGUGCAGGAUGACUGCCCUAUGGGUUGUAAACUGCUUUUUUACGGGAAUAAACCUUCCUACGUGUAGGGAGCUGAAGGUACCGUAUGAAUAAAGAUCGGCUAACUCCGUGCCAGCAGCCGCGGUAAUAACGGAGGCAUCGAGCGCUAUCCGGGAUUUAUCCGGGUUCACCGGGUCCGUACGACGGGCGAUUACAUCACGUGGUGACAUCUCCCAGCUCAACUGUGAACUGCCCUGAAACGGUGCCUGCAAUUACGUGAGGUGGGGGAAUCGUUAUGUACGGGGACAGCAUAGAUUUACGUGCACCCGAUGG
rnacentral:rRNA from 1 species